GACGAACGCUGGCGGCGUGCUUAACACAUGCAAGUCGAACGGAAAGGCCCUGCUUUUGUGGGGUGCUCGAGUGGCGAACGGGUGAGUAACACGUGAGUAACCUGCCCUUGACUUUGGGAUAACUUCAGGAAACUGGGGCUAAUACCGGAUAGGAGCUCCUGCUGCAUGGUGGGGGUUGGAAAGUUUCGGCGGUUGGGGAUGGACUCGCGGCUUAUCAGCUUGUUGGUGGGGUAGUGGCUUACCAAGGCUUUGACGGGUAGCCGGCCUGAGAGGGUGACCGGCCACAUUGGGACUGCGAUACGGCCCAGACUCCUACGGGAGGCAACAGGGGGGAAUAUUGCACAAUGGGCGGAAGCCUGAUGCAGCAACGCCGCGUGCGUGAUGACGGCCUUCGGGUUGUAAACCGCUUUCGCCUGUGACGAAGCGUGAGUGACGGUAAUGGGUAAAGAAGCACCGGCUAACUACGUG
rnacentral:rRNA from 1 species